UACGAAGGGGCUAGCGUUGUUCGGAUUUACUGGGCGUAAAGCGCACGUAGGCGGUUUGUUAAGUCAGGGGUGAAAUCCCGGAGCUCAACUCCGGAACUGCCUUUGAUACUGGCAAGCUAGAGUCCGGAAGAGGUAAGUGGAACUCCUAGUGUAGAGGUGGAAUUCGUAGAUAUUAGGAAGAACACCAGUGGCGAAGGCGGCUUACUGGUCCGGAACUGACGCUGAGGUGCGAAAGCGUGGGGAGCAAACAGG
rnacentral:rRNA from 1 species